CAGCCGCCGCGGUAAUACAGAGGGUGCAAGCGUUAAUCGGAAUUACUGGGCGUAAAGCGCGCGUAGGUGGUUUGUUAAGUUGGAUGUGAAAUCCCCGGGCUCAACCUGGGAACUGCAUCCAAAACUGGCAGGCUAGAGUAGGGCAGAGGGUGGUGGAAUUUCCUGUGUAGCGGUGAAAUGCGUAGAUAUAGGAAGGAACACCAGUGGCGAAGGCGACCACCUGGGCUCAUACUGACACUGAGGUGCGAAAGCGUGGGGAGCAAACAGGAUUAGAUACCCGAGUAGUCCCUGUCUCUUAUAC
rnacentral:rRNA from 1 species